rnacentral:rRNA from 1 species
GACGAACGCUGGCGGCGUGCUUAACACAUGCAAGUCGAACGGAAAGGCCCUGCUUUUGUGGGGUGCUCGAGUGGCGAACGGGUGAGUAACACGUGAGUAACCUGCCCUUGACUUUGGGAUAACUUCAGGAAACUGGGGCUAAUACCGGAUAGGAGCUCCUGCUGCAUGGUGGGGGUUGGAAAGUUUCGGCGGUUGGGGAUGGACUCGCGGCUUAUCAGCUUGUUGGUGGGGUAGUGGCUUACCAAGGCUUUGACGGGUAGCCGGCCUGAGAGGGUGACCGGCCACAUUGGGACUGAGAUAAGGCCCAGACUCCGACGGGAGGCAGCAGUGGGGAAUAUUGCACAAUGGGCGGAAGCCUGAUGCAGCAACGCCGCGUGCGGGAUGACGGCCUUCGGGUUGUAAACCGCUUUCGCCUGUGACGAAGCGUGAGUGACGGUAAUGGGUAAAGAAGCACCGGCGAGCUACGUG